GGUGGUGGUCAGCUAGUAACAGAGUCUAAGUUCAGGGCAGGGUACUGGACGGUGGUCAGCUAGUAACAGUGUCUAAGUUCAGGGCAGGGUACUGGGCGGUGGUCAGCUAGUAACAGUGUCUAAGUUCAGGGCAGGGUACUGGGCGGUAGUCAGCUAGUAACAGUGACUAAGUUCAGGGCAGGGUACUGGGCGGUGGUCAGCUAGUAACAGUGUCUAAGUUCAGGGCAGGGUACUGGGCGGUGGUCAGCUAGUAACAGUGACUAAGGUUCAGGGCAGGGUACUGGACGGUGGUCAGCUAGUAACAGUGACUAAGUUCAGGGCAGGGUACUGGACGGUGGUCAGCUAGUAACAGUGUCUAAGUUCAGGGCAGGGUACUGGGCGGUGGUCAGCUAGUAACAGUGUCUAAGUUCAGGGCAGGGUACUGGGCGGUGGUCAGCUAGUAACAGUGUCUAAGUUCAGG